rnacentral:rRNA from 1 species
GAUGAACGCUGGCGGCGUGCCUAAUACAUGCAAGUCGAGCGAACGGACGAGAAGCUUGCUUCUCUGAUGUUAGCGGCGGACGGGUGAGUAACACGUGGAUAACCUACCUAUAAGACUGGGAUAACUUCGGGAAACCGGAGCUAAUACCGGAUAAUAUUUUGAACCGCAUGGUUCAAAAGUGAAAGACGGUCUUGCUGUCACUUCUAGAUGGAUCCGCGCUGCAUUAGCUAGUUGGUAAGGUAACGGCUUACCAAGGCAACGAUGCAUAGCCGACCUGAGGGGGUGAUAGGCCACACUGGAACUGAGACAGGGUCCAGACUCCUACGGGAGGCAGCAGUAGGGAAUCUUCCGCAAUGGGCGAAAGCCUGACGGAGCAACGCCGCGUGAGUGAUGGAGGUCUUCGGAUCGUAAAACUCUGUUAUUAGGGAAGAACAUAUGUGUAAGUAACUGUGCACAUCUUGACGGUACCUAAUCAGAAAGCCACGGCUAACUACGUG